CGCUGGCGGCGUGCCUAAUACAUGCAAGUCGAACGGCUUUUCUAUGGAAGCUUGCUUCCACUGAGAAGAUAGUGGCGAACGGGUGAGUAACACGUGGGUAACCUGCCCAUAAGAGGGGGAGUAACAUCCGGAAACGGGUGCUAAUACCGCAUAGUUUUCUUGAUCGCAUGAUUGAGAAAGGAAAGACGGCCUUUGUGCUGUCGCUUAUGGAUGGACCCGCGGCGUAUUAGUUAGUUGGUGAGGUAAUGGCUCACCAAGACGAUGAUACGUAGCCGACCUGAGAGGGUGAUCGGCCACAUUGGGACUGAGACACGGCCCAAACUCCUACGGGAGGCAGCAGUAGGGAAUCUUCCGCAAUGGACGAAAGUCUGACGGAGCAACGCCGCGUGAGUGAAGAAGGUUUUCGGAAUCGUAAAACUCUGUUGUCAGAGAAGAACAAGUUGGAGAGUAACUGCUCCAGCCUUGACGGUAUCUGACCAGAAAGCCACGGCUAACUACGUGCCAGCAGCUGC
rnacentral:rRNA from 1 species